rnacentral:misc_RNA from 1 species
UGUGAUUUCGAUCAGACGAGCUCGAUAGGCGAUCUCGUUCUAGCUUUUAACGACCUUGGAACGAGAAACGAUAAUGCUACUUGCUGACUCGUUUCGUCAUCUUUCAUACUUUCCAGCGCCUUUCGGCGAGCUCUCCUCGGUUCUCCUCUCCGUCGCGUGAUUUCGAGAAUUUUCUAACGUUUCUACUGGAAGCUGAACAUUUAAUUCUUGACACAAUUGAAAGAAAUAGUGGAAAAUUUCGUAUUUUGGGAUUAAAUAUAAGUUUCCGGCGAGCGAAGAUGACGAUAG